rnacentral:misc_RNA from 1 species
AAUUCUCAAGCUGGAUGAUUUUUUCAUCUCAGUUUGGUUUUGGGCUUUGCCGUGACCCCCUUCAUUGGGACGGCUGGCCUUAAAAAUAUUAGCUGACUCUCAUGUGAGAUUGGUUCUACUCAGCGUGAUAACUCUGACCGCUGAGGACAUCUUUUAUUGGAUGGCCAAGCUCUAUGUUGGGUUGCUUCUAAUCCUGGUUUUUACAGAUUUUCGGAUCUGUUUUCCACUCACGA